rnacentral:rRNA from 1 species
AUGGAUCCGGGCGGGAUGCUGCUGGAGGACUUCGGGCUGUGGGUGGACCUGGCGCGGCGCAUCCGCGAGGUGCUGGCCAACUACCCGGAGGGCAGCACCGCGCUGCGGGAGCUUAUCCAGAACGCCGACGAUGCCGGGGCCUCGUGCGUCCACCUCUGCCUCGACUGCUGCGCCCAUGGGGCCCGCUCGCUGCUCGCCCCCGCGCUCGCACAGUGUUCGCCAGCAACGACGCCGCCUUCACCGACAACGAGUUCGCCAGCAUCCCCCGCAUCGGCGGCAGCAAGAAGUCCUCCCAGGCCUGGAAGACCGGCAGCAAGAUGGGCGCUAGCUACGCUCUCUGUCGCUGCCGAGCUCUGCUUCGAGCUGCUGCUCUUUCAAUCUGAACCAAUUGUUUUAAAGAAGGCUAUUGAAAAAAGAUGUGUGUGGGUAUCAGUCACUCUCAUGCCGGCAUGCCGCACUUUCAGCUAG